UGAAACUAACAGAUGCUGGCCUCUUGUAUGC
rnacentral:piRNA from 1 species